rnacentral:rRNA from 1 species
GCCCUUAUAAAGCACCAAGGAGCAGGUAUCAGGCACAACCCGUUAGCCCAAAACACCUUGCUACGCCACACCCACACGGGCACCCAGCAGUGAUAAACAUUAAGCUAUGAGUGAAAGCCAACUUAAGCUCGACUUAGUUAUGAUUAUUCGGGUCGGUAAACCUCGUGCCAGCCACCGCGGUUAUACGAGGGACCCAAAACAACGGACACCGGCGUAAAUUGUGACUAGAGCAUCUACUUAUAACAUUGGGAAAUAAAUAAAAACUCAACAGUAAAACCUGAGUUAAAAGAAAUAUAUUCUCCCAACUACAAAGGAACUUGAACCCACGAAGACUAAGAAACAAACUAGGAUUAGAUACCCUACUAUGCUUAGUUGUCAACACGAUACCAAAAAACAUCGGUAUCCGCCAGAAAAUUACACGCGAAAAGCUUAAAACUCAAAGGACUUGGCGGUGCUCCGUACUCGCCUUAGAGGAGCCUGUCCUAUAAUCGAUAACCCACGCUUUACCUUACCAUCUUUUGUAAAAACAGCCUAUAUACCGCCGUCGCAAACUUACCCCGUGAGGGUAUAACAGUAAGUAAAAUAGUAACGCACGAAUACGUCAGGUCAAGGUGUAGCUAAUAAGAUGGAAGAGAUGGGCUACAUUUUCUAAAACAGAAUAUACGGCAAAGAACAUUGAAACAUGCUCUAAAAGGUGGAUUUAAUAGUAAGAUAGAAAA